UCUUCAAUUAGGAAACCUAAUCAAUUCUCUCAAUCAAUUGAAAUCAUUCUCCAGACAAAUUGAUUUCAAUUUUACAUCGCACAUUCAAUUUUACAAACCCUAAAUCUCAUCUACGGCUUCAUCUGUAGCGAUUGUACCUGGCCAUACCCACUUCAGAAAUCCCUAAAUCUGAAGCAUUCGAACUCUCAUCUAGGGUAUCUAUCGAAUCCAGAGAGUGUGAUGCGGUGUGAACGUGGAUGCUCUUUCGAGGUUGAAGUUCAAGUGUGCAAGAUUCAUUGUGUAAGCAAGGCUCCUCCUGGGCUUACUAUAAAUGUCGAGGAUGCAGCCACAAGUGAGGCUGAAAUUUACAAGGCUUUAGAGAAGUUGCCGAUUUGUUGAAAAAACUAUCAUUGGGAUCUCAAUCCCAGACUUUGGAAGUUUCAGAACCUGCUGAGAAGAGGACAAAUGGAAUGGUGCAAGUCAACCUGUUAAUCGGCCGCUUACCCCUUUGAUCCCGGAUGUUAUGGAUCCAGUUGUUGCUUAUUUUUCCAAUGGUUAUGCUUCUUCUGCGUAUUACUAUGGAGAUUAUGAUGGGGAUGCCAAUAGCUGGGAUAAUUACUCGAGAUACGUAACCCCUGUUGUAGUUGAUGCGUCUAAUGUAAGAUCGUUUUUUGUAUUAUUACAAUUUUUCGUCAUGUUAUCAUGUUUAUGCUGAUUAUUAUAUGUAAAUGACCAAGGUGUUUAUGAAGAUUAGGGGUUAAUUAUGUAUCCUGGUGGGAUGAUGCCCAUAAGUUGUUGGAUGAGAUGAUAAGGUGUGAUUCAUCAAAUAUUCAUGAGGUUAUUGGCCAGCUGAUUAGGGAGAUUACGAUGAUGCUUCUAAUUGGCAAAUGCUUUUCGGUGGUUAGGACAAAAGGAAAAAGUUGCAAGAGUGCUUAAAGAAGCAACAAAAAGUGGACUUUUUCCUGAAAUGUUAUGCAACAGCACACAUGUGUGUCUGUUGAUGUACACAGGUGAUUGAGGGGACCAGAAAACAUUAGAUAGGCUUCGGGAUGAAAGGCCAAUAAGAAUUGACGAGCUUAAAGUGAAAUAAUUAUUACAUCACUCAAUAGCUCAUACAGAAUUACGAUGCAGUUCUAGCAGCAUAGGUAGCUGUUGUGUCUAUUCUUGCAUCAAAAGUGGAUUAGAUGCCAAAACCAAAAGGCCUCUAAAUAUGUUUUAAUGAAAUAAAGCAAAAUAUGUGCCACAUGUCCUCCUCAUAGACGCUAAAACCUAGAGGCGAAAUAACUUUGGACCGUCUGGUGUUGAUGCGGACGUUGGCACGACUGCACUCAAGUCUAUUUAUGCCAGAUUUAUCUGGUGAAGUUUAAAUAACAUGUAUGUGUUGUAUGUCUGAUAGUAGUUAGGGUUAGGUUUUUUUUUGUGUUUAGUUAUGUGUGACCAUUAGAAAAUCAUCAAACGAUGACGAUGGUAGUUCCAACGCCAGCUCGGUGACUUAAGGCUAAAUCAGGAACUAAUUUGGGAAAUUGCCACUAAUUAAGGUAGCGAUGGUGAUGAAGUCGGCAAGCAGUGGUUGAAACUUUAUGUAUCUACAACUACAUCAUACCCUAGCAUAUGAUAUACUUUUGAUAAGGAUUUGCUAAUCGAUAUCGUUCCAUGCUCUGAUUCUCUCUUUAACGAUGAAGACUAACGGAUUUUGGCUAUCAUCGACUGUAACCAGAUGUUCAGUCUAUCUUAUUUUAGGUGGUCUUCCAUGUUCUUCUUCAUCAUCCAACUGCGACUCCGCCCUCCGAUGGCACCCAGGUACGUCUUCUCUCUAUAUGAUGUUCUUGGAGCAUGAUUUUGAUUUUGAAAUGAAUUUAAUUUGUUUUUUGUUAGGAUUUUAUGGAUCAAGUUAGGGUUAUAUAUUACACUAAAACAUGGGGAUAAGUAACAUAAAUCCAACAGUGAGUUUGUAUCAAGUUCUAUGCUCUUAAUUUUAAAUGAAAAUGUAUAUAAUUAGAUCUCAUGUGUAAAUUUAGGUUUUACUUUGUAUGUUUAGUAGUGUGAGUGAAGAUGAGCCACAUUAGCAACCGGCACGAAAGCGGCCGUUCUUAGCAGCAUCUAGAUAACGAAUCAAUUUUUUUAUCAAUUUGUUCAUUGACAGGUAAAUUGUUUGUUAAUUUUACAAAAGUAGUGUUCAAUUUGAUUAUUUAGCAAGUUGGUGUUCACUGAGUCGGCCAAUCCAACUAGGAACAGUUGGGUUCCUAAAAAGGUGGGAGUGAUCAUGUAGAGGGCUUUAAUGGAAAGGCUUUCUACUUUGCUGCAUUGAAACAAAUAAAUCUGCACAUUCAUGUGGUUUCGCGCAAGUGGUUUGGCAAGUCAUCUCAUAAUGGUGUAAACUACAAGGUAUAUUUUCUACAAACUUGAGAGAUGUUUUGGGGCUAUCCAGCUUUGUUCCAGGUUCAAAGAAGAAUGUAAUCAACAUAAAUUGUGAUUCAUUUUUUAAAUUGAAAAAGGUAAUCUAUAAGAUGGC